CCUACGGGUGGCUGCAGUGGGGAAUAUUGCACAAUGGGGGAAACCCUGAUGCAGCAACGCCGCGUGAGUGUCGAAGUAUUUCGGUAUGUAAAGCUCUAUCAGCAGGGAAGAAGAUGACGGUCCCUGAUUAAGAAGCCACGGCUAACUACGUGCCAGCAGCCGCGGUAAUACGUAGGGGGCAAGCGUUAUCCGGAUUUACGGGGUGUAAAGGGAGCGCAGACGGUAGUGCAGGUCUGGAGGGAAAGCCCGGGGCCAAACGCCGGAACUGCUAUGGAAACUGGGCGGCUAGAGUGCGGGAGGGGCGGGCGGAAUGCCUGGUGUAGCGGUGAAAUGCGUAGAUAUCAGGAGGAACACCAGUGGCGAAGGCAGCCUGCGGGACAGUGACUGACGUUGAUGCUCGAAAGCGUGGGGAGCAAACAGGAUUAGAUACCCGUGUAGUC
rnacentral:rRNA from 1 species